rnacentral:rRNA from 1 species
UACGAGGGGGCAAAUGUUGUUCGGAAUCACUGGGCGUAAAGGGAGCGUAGGCGGGUCUUAAGUUAGGUGUUUAAUCCCGGGGCCCAACCCCGGACCGGCACUUAAAACUGGGAAUCUUGAAUAGUGGAGAGGUCAGUGGAAUUGGGGGUGUAGCGGUGGAAUGCGUAGAGAUCCCCAAGAACACCAGUUGCGAAGGCGGCUGACUGGACACAUAUUGACGCUGAGGCUCGAAAGCAUGGGGAGCAAACAGG